rnacentral:rRNA from 1 species
GACGAACGCUGGCGGCGUGCUUAACACAUGCAAGUCGAACGGAAAGGCCCUUCGGGGUACUCGAGUGGCGAACGGGUGAGUAACACGUGGGUGAUCUGCCCUGCACUUUGGGAUAAGCCUGGGAAACUGGGUCUAAUACCGAAUAGGACCACGCGCUUCAUGGUGUGUGGUGGAAAGCUUUUGCGGUGUGGGAUGGGCCCGCGGCCUAUCAGCUUGAUGGUGGGGUAAUGGCCUACCAAGGCGACGACGGGUAGCCGGCCUGAGAGGGUGACCGGCCACACUGGGACUGAGAUACGGCCCAGACUCCUACGGGAGGCAGCAGUGGGGAAUAUUGCACAAUGGGCGCAAGCCUGAUGCAGCGACGCCGCGUGAGGGAUGACGGCCUUCGGGUUGUAAACCUCUUUCAAUAGGGACGAAGCGCAAGUGACGGUACCUAUAGAAGAAGCACCGGCCAACUACGUG